rnacentral:rRNA from 1 species
UACGUAGGGGGCAAGCGUUGUCCGGAUUUAUUGGGCGUAAAGAGCGUGUCGGCGGCUUGGUAGGUCCGCUGUGAAAACUCGAGGCUCAACCUCGAGAUGUCGGCGGAAACCACUUGGCUAGAGUCCGGAAGAGGAGAGUGGAAUUCCUGGUGUAGCGGUGAAAUGCGUAGAUAUUGGGAGGAACACCUGCGGCGAAGGCGGUUCUCUGGGCCUUACCUGACGCUGAGGAGCGAAAGCAUGGGGAGCAAACAGG